rnacentral:rRNA from 1 species
ACGAACGCUGGCUGCGUGCCUAAUACAUGCAAGUCGAACGUGAAAGUACUUCGGUAUGAGUAAAGUGGCGCACGGGUGAGUAACACGUAGGUCAUCUGCCUUUUAGUGGGGAAUAACACAGCGAAAGUUGUGCUAAUGCCGCAUAAGUAAGUAAUUAGAAAGUGGGCGCCGCAAGGGCUCACGCUGAAAGAAGAGCCUGCGGCCUAUUAGCUAGUUGGUGGGGUAAUGGCCUACCAAGGCAACGAUAGGUAUCCGGUCUGAGAGGAUGAUCGGACACACUGGAACUGAGACACGGUCCAGACUCCUACGGGAGGCAGCAGUAGGGAAUAUUGCGCAAUGGGGGAAACCCUGACGCAGCAACGCCGCGUGAGUGAGGAAGGUCUUCGGAUUGUAAAACUCUUUUAUUUGGGAAAAAUGACUAUAUGGCUAAUAUCCAUGUAGAGUGAUGGU